AGCCACGAAGUGUUCGCUUCGCUUGUACGUCAGAUAAACGAGACAUAGUAGUAUCGCGUCAAUCGACUGAGAACAGAAGAGCACGUAAACGCUGUCACAUAUGUCAACAUAACAACAACAAAACUACAACCACGUAAUACAAGUGCUCGAUAAUCACAGCAACAACAACUAGCUAGCGAAAGCAACAAGCAUAUUGUAGAAUCGACACCAAAGAAGGGAAGUGGCAACAAGUAACAAGAUAACUUGCUGAACUACAAAGGAUAACAGAGAAGCAGUUGGAGGUGCCAGCGUUGUGACCGUAGCGAUAGUCGAAGACGGAGCCUUCGCCUACAUAAUAUUUGUAAGAAGAACGCAGCUGCAUUUUACGAAAGCGAUAAAAGAGGAGAAUGUAAAGUUGAAACACAAGCAGAUAGAGAAACGGCAAAAGCGACGAAUAUAACGAUUGAAUGCAACAUGCAGGCGACGGCGAGUAGUCAGCAGCAGCAACACAGUUUUUGAAGAAAAAAUGGUGAAUAAACAAACAUCUUAAGAUUUACUGCCUCUUGUAAUCAAAUAUUUGCAAGAGAACAAAAGGACUCGCGAAAUAGGUAAUACUAAAAAAAAGCACAUACUAUUGUUCAGUACAUUAUUUCUAAAUUCAAAAAGACUGGUGGAGUUGGAAGACUUAGUGGAAGGCUAAAAAAAAGUUUCGCACUCCAGGCUGAAAGUAAAGUUAAUCGGAGUAUCAAGGAACACCUCAAAAUAUCCGCUUUCACUAACGCCAUGGAGUUGGGGGAUGCUGGCACGGCAAAACUCCACCCUCAAACUGUUCGAAGCUUCUUGCUUCCACCCGAUUCUAGGGCAUAUACACGACGAAACAAGUCACAACUAUGGAAGAGAAAUAUUGCCCAUCCCACAACAAGGCCGACAUUACCGGAACGGACCUGGAUUUUAUCCAGCCAAGGACUAUCACUCGAUAGAAUUCUUCCGCUACAACAACAAAAACAACAAGAGAAAUAUUGCGAAACGUUUACUAUAUUUCACCGUGAAACCAAUAAUUGUGAUUCUGUAAUUUUUACCGAUGAGUUCAAAGUUAAUUUAUUUGGAUCUAAAGAUCGUAGAUUUGUAUGGCGUAAGGAGGGCUAAGCGCUGAAAGAUCAAAAUAUAAUAAUAUAAAUAAAACUCUCAGCAUGGAGGAGACUGCAUUGUGUGGUGUCUGGUGCAAUGGAAGCCAAAAUGGUGCAGUGGAAGCAAAUGGCGAAUUAGUAUGUAAAGAAAAGACUGCUAGGCAAUAUUAAAAAAUAAUUUAACUCCGUCAGCUAAACUCAAUUUAAAUAGUGGAUACUGCCUUAUUCAGGAUAACGGCCCAAAUCAUUCCGAUGUAGUGGUUCAGGAGUGGUUACUGUACAACGUGAAAAAAGUCUCUCCAUAGUUCAGACCUCAAUCCCAUUGAACAGCGUUAAGCCUAUAUGGAAAACGUAAAGUUAAUAGCAAAAAUGGGGUCAAGCCUCCCUAAAAUUGGAUGUAUUAUAUGAAUAAAAGACUGUAAACCAUGAUUGAGAGCAAAUGUGCACAUACAAAGUUUAAUUUUCCUUAAAGAGUGUUAAAAUCUCAAUUUGUGCAGACUGUACAAGUUUUGUUUUUGGUUUUCGAUAAUGGAGUUAUUUUGGAUUUUUCAAAUUUUUUCGUGACAA